GAAUAGAUACCCGGGUAGUCCACCCCGUAAACGUUGGGAACUAGUUGUGGGUCCUUUCCACGGAUUCCGUGACGCAGCUAACGCAUUAAGUUCCCCGCCUGGGGAGUACGGCCGCAAGGCUAAAACUCAAAGGAAUUGACGGGGACCCGCACAAGCGGCGGAGCAUGCGGAUUAAUUCGAUGCAACGCGAAGAACCUUACCAAGGCUUGACAUACACCAGAACACCCUAGAAAUAGGGGACUCUUUGGACACUGGUGAACAGGUGGUGCAUGGUUGUCGUCAGCUCGUGUCGUGAGAUGUUGGGUUAAGUCCCGCAACGAGCGCAACCCUCGUUCUAUGUUGCCAGCACGUAAUGGUGGGAACUCAUGGGAUACUGCCGGGGUCAACUCGGAGGAAGGUGGGGAUGACGUCAAAUCAUCAUGCCCCUUAUGUCUUGGGCUUCACGCAUGCUACAAUGGCCGGUACAAAGGGCUGCAAUACCGUGAGGUGGAGCGAAUCCCAAAAAGCCGGUCCCAGUUCGGAUUGAGGUCUGCAACUCGACCUCA
rnacentral:rRNA from 1 species